GCGGCCGCUCUGGUUGAUCCUGGCGGAGGUCACUGCUAUCGGUGUUCGAUUAAGCCAUGCGAGUCGAGAGGCGUCAAGGCCUCGGCGUACUGCUCAGUAACACGUGGACAACCUGCCCAAAGGUCCGGGAUAACCCCGGGAAACUGGGGAUAAUACCGGAUAAAUCACGAGUACUGGAAGGUUUUGUGGUUGAAACUUCCGGGGCCUUUGGAUGGGUCUGCGGCGGAUUAGGUUGUUGCCGGUGUAACGUACCGUCAAGCCUGUAAUCCGUACGGGUUGUGGGAGCAAGAGCCCGGAGAUGGAUUCUGAGACACGAUUCCAGGCCCUACGGGGCGCAGCAGGCGCGAAAACUCUACAAUGCAGGCAACUGCGAUAGGGGAACAUCGAGUGAUACUCAUUUUGGGUGUCUGUCCCACCGUCUAAAAAACGGUGGUUAGCAAGGGCCGGGCAAGACCGGUGCCAGCCGCCGCGGUAAUACCGGCGGCUCGAGUGGUGGCCGAUAUUAUUGAGUCUAAAGGGUCCGUAGCCGGCUUUGCAAGUCUUUUGGGAAAUCCAGCGGCUUAACCGUUGGUCGUCCGGGAGAUACUACAUUGCUUGGGACUGGGAGAGGUAAGAGGUACUCAGGGGGUAGGAGUGAAAUCCUGUAAUCCUUUGGGGACCACCGGUGGCGAAGGCGUCUUACCAGAACAGGUCCGACGGUGAGGGACGAAAGCUAGGGGCACGAACCGGAUUAGAUACCCGGGUAGUCCUAGCCGUAAACGAAGCUCGCUAGGUGUCACAACAAUCGUGAAUUGUUGUGGUGCCGUAGGGAAGCCGUGAAGCGAGCCACUCGGGAAGUACGACCGCAAGGUUGAAACUUAAAGGAAUUGGCGGGGGAGCACCACAACGGGUGGAGCCUGCGGUUUAAUUGGACUCAACGCCGGACAGCUUACCGGGAUCGACAGGUGUAUGAAGGCCAGGCUGAAGACCUUGCUGGACUAGCUGAGAGGAGGUGCAUGGCCGCCGUCAGUUCGUACCGUGAGGCGUCCUGUUAAGUCAGGCAACGAGCGAGACCC
rnacentral:rRNA from 1 species